rnacentral:rRNA from 1 species
CCUACGGGUGGCUGCAGUGGGGAAUCUUGCGCAAUGGGCGAAAGCCUGACGCAGCAACGCCGCGUGCGGGAUGACGGCCUUCGUGGUUGUAAACCGCUUUCAGCAGGGACGAAAAUGACGGUACCUGCAGAAGAAGCCCCGGCUAACUACGUGCCAGCAGCCGCGGUAAUACGUAGGGGGCAAGCGUUGUCCGGAAUCAUUGGGCGUAAAGAGCUCGUAGGCGGUUCAGUAAGUCGGGUGUGAAAGCUCCGAGCUCAACUCGGAGAGGCCACUCGAUACUGCUGUGACUAGAAUCCAGUAGGGGAGCGUGGAACUCCUGGUGUAGCGGUGAAAUGCGCAGAUAUCAGGAAGAACACCAGCGGCGAAGGCGGCGCUCUGGGCUGGAAUUGACGCUGAGGAGCGAAAGUGUGGGUAGCAAACAGGAUUAGAUACCCCUGUAGUC